rnacentral:rRNA from 1 species
GAUGAACGCUGGCGGCGUGCCUAAUACAUGCAAGUCGAGCGAACGGACGAGAAGCUUGCUUCUCUGAUGUUAGCGGCGGACGGGUGAGUAACACGUGGAUAACCUACCUAUAAGACUGGGAUAACUUCGGGAAACCGGAGCUAAUACCGGAUGAUAUUUUGAACCGCAUGGUUCAAAAGUGAAAGACGGUCUUGCUGUCACUUAUAGAUGGAUCCGCGCUGCAUUAGCUAGUUGGUAAGGUAACGGCUUACCAAGGCAACGAGGCAUAGCCGACCGGAGAGGGUGAUCGGCGACACGGGAAGGGAGACACGGUCCAGGCUACUACGGGAGGCAGCAGUAGGGAAUGUUCCGCAAUGGGCGAAAGCCUGACGGAGCAACGCCGCGUGAGUGAUGAAGGUCUUCGGAUCGGAAAACUCUGUUAUGAGGGAAGAACAUAUGUGUAAGUAACUGUGCACAGCUUGACGGUACCUAAUCAGAAAGCCACGGCUAACUACGUG